CUACGGGAGGCAGCAGUGGGGGAUAUUGCACAAUGGGGGGAACCCUGAUGCAGCGACGCCGCGUGGGUGAAGAAGCGCCUCGGCGCGUAAAGCCCUGUCAGCAGGGAAGAAAAUGACGGUACCCGAAGAAGAAGCCCCGGCUAACUACGUGCCAGCAGCCGCGGUAAUACGUAGGGGGCAAGCGUUAUCCGGAUUUACUGGGUGUAAAGGGGGCGCAGACGGCGAUGCAAGCCAGGAGUGAAAGCCCGGGGCCCAACCCCGGGACUGCUCUUGGAACUGCGCGGCUGGGGUGCAGGAGGGGCAGG
rnacentral:rRNA from 1 species